rnacentral:snRNA from 1 species
AGUAUCAUAGCCAAUGAGGUUAAUCCAAGGCAUGAUUAUUGCUAGUUGAAAACUUCUCCCUAC